UUAGCUCUCUUUGCCUUUUGGCUUAGAUCAAGUGUAGUAUCUGUUCUUUUCAGUUUAAUCUCUGAAAGGUCUCUAAGGAGACCAAUCGUGAUUAUUCCUAUUUUUGUACCUCGAGAGAAGCUCUCUGUGCUUGCACAUGGCUUCUCUCACAGUGUCCCUGGUAUUACACUGCUUCCAGGCGACGCGAACCUAU
rnacentral:snRNA from 1 species